rnacentral:Y_RNA from 1 species
GGUUGGUCCGAGUGCAGUGGUGUUUACGACUAAUUGAUCACAACCAGUUUCAGAUUCCUUUGUUCCUUCUCCACUCCUACUGCUUCACUUGACCAGCCUUAG